rnacentral:rRNA from 1 species
AGUGAACGCUGGCGGUAGGCCUACCCCAUCCAGUUGGACGGCAGCACAGUUAGAGCUUUGUCCUACGGGUGGGGAGUGGCGGACGGGUGAGGGAUACAACCGAAUCCUCUUUUUUGGGGGGGAUAACGGAGGGAAACCUUCGCCAAAUACGCAUACGACCCACGGGUGGAAGCAGGGGAACCUUGGAACCUUCGCGGUUUGAUUAGGCGAUGUCGGAUUAGCUAGUUGGCGGGGUAAAGGCCCACCAAGGCGACGAUCCGUAGCUGGUCUGAGAGGAUGAUCAGCCACACUGGAACUGAGACACGGUCCAGACUCCUACGGGAGGCAGCAGUGGGGAAUAUUGGACAAAGGGCGCAAGCCUGAUCCAGCCAUACCGCGUGGGUGAAGAAGGCCUUCGGGUUGUAAAGCCCUUUUGUUGGGAAAGAAAAGCAGCAGGUUAAUACCCCGCUGUUCUGACGGUACCCAAAGAAUAAGCACCGGCUAACUUCGUG